rnacentral:pre_miRNA from 1 species
GGGGAGGCCGGAUCUUGGGCUGUGUCCCGGUGCCCUGGGCUCCCGGUCUGCAAUGUGGGAUUCGCGCUCGCGGCCCAGCAGCUGCCU